CCUACGGGAGGCAGCAGUAGGGAAUCUUCCACAAUGGGCGAAAGCCUGAUGGAGCAACGCCGCGUGGGUGAAGAAGGUCUUCGGAUCGUAAAACCCUGUUGUUAGAGAAGAAAGUGCGUGAGAGUAACUGUUCACGUUUCGACGGUAUCUAACCAGAAAGCCACGGCUAACUACGUGCCAGCAGCCGCGGUAAUACGUAGGUGGCAAGCGUUAUCCGGAUUUAUGGGGCGUAAAGGGAACGCAGGCGGUCUUUUAAGUCUGAUGUGAAAGCCUUCGGCUUAACCGGGGUAGUGCAUUGGAAACUGGGAGACUUGAGUGCAGAAGAGGAGAGUGGAACUCCAUGUGUAGCGGUGAAAUGCGUAGAUAUAUGGAAGAACACCAGUGGCGAAGGCGGCUCUCUGGUCUGUAACUGACGCUGAGGUUCGAAAGCGUGGGUAGCAAACAGGAUUAGAUACCCUUGUAGUC
rnacentral:rRNA from 1 species